UACGUAGGCAGCGAGCGUUGUUCGGAGUUACUGGGCGUAAAGCGUGCGUAGGCGGUUGUCUAAGUUUGGUGUGAAAUCUCCCGGCUUAACUGGGAGGGUGCGCCGAAAACUGGGUGACUGGAGUGUCGGAGAGGUAAGCGGAAUUCCUGGUGUAGCGGUGAAAUGCGUAGAGAUCAGGAGGAACACCUGUGGUGUAGACAGCUUACUGGACGAUAACUGACGCUGAGGCACGAAAGCGUGGGGAGCAAACAGG
rnacentral:rRNA from 1 species